rnacentral:rRNA from 1 species
AGCGAACGCUGGCAGCAGGCCUAACACAUGCAAGUCGAACGAAGUCUUCGGACUUAGUGGCGGACGGGUGAGUAACACGUGGGAACGUGCCUUUAGGUUCGGAAUAACUCAGGGAAACUUGUGCUAAUACCGAAUGUGCCCUUCGGGGGAAAGAUUUAUCGCCUUUAGAGCGGCCCGCGUCUGAUUAGCAAGUUGGUGAGGUAAAGGCUCACCAAGGCUACGAUCAGUAGCUGGUCUGUGAGGAUGACCAGCCACAUUGGGACUGAGACACGGCCCAAACUCCUACGGGAGGCAGCAGUGGGGAAUCUUGAGAACUGGGCGAAAGCCUGACGCAGCCAUGCCGCGUGAAUGAUGAAGGUCUUAGGAUUGUAAAAUUCUUUCACCGGGGACGAUAAUGACGGUACCCGGAGAAGAAGCCCCGGCUAACUUCGUGCCAGCAGCCGCCGUAAAAC